GUCAUGAGCUCCUUUUCAAGCAGCAAGAGGGCUUUCUAACAAAGAGAACGGCGCAUUCGAGAACAUCUGUGCGGGGAUAUCUAAACUAUUGGAUUCACCUCAGAGAAAGCACUUUACUGUUUGACCCGUAUCCGAGGGUCACUUCUCUUAAGACAGGCCUUGGAUCGCGAAGACCCGAACCUUACCUGCUCCUUCUUCCUUGAUAGAAUAGCAAGCAGCGCCGCAAGGAACCCAGAGUCUGUGGGAGGCUUAUUACUUCAACUAGUCCCCACGGAUCUCUUAGUUGUUGAGAAGGUUGCCUGUUAUGGUAGAUUUUGAAUCCCUAUUGGAUUUCUUACUCCAGAAAAAAGAGAGAAAUCAACAAUAAUGCGCACACGUGAAAAGGCUUACCCCGCAGGCUGACUCUUCCAAUCCAACUCUAUCGAAGGAGAAAAAAAGCUGGGACUACGACUUGCUUAGUGCAGGGCUGCUUGUCGUGAUUGGUUGGACACUCUCUUCGUCUAAGGUCUUAGCUUGGUCACUCUAUUAAGCUUUCCCAGCAAGUCUAUUGAAUGGGGUACGAAAGAUUGCUAUUCAAAGCAUCGUUAAGAGUUCUGUCUUCUAGGGAGUAGUCAAGAUAAGAUGACUCUGAUCUUUCCUUCUAUGGAGCCGGAUGUGAGCUUAUCGCCUACUGAUCUUACUCAAAAAGAGUCAAUGGGAGUAGACACAUCAAUAGCAGCAGACGCAGAGGAAGAAAUCCUUGCUCUUCGGGCUAAGAUGCUGACUUUGCCGUGGAAAGAGUAAUGAGAGGAAAGCCUUGACCUUCCC
rnacentral:lncRNA from 1 species